GGAUUAGAUACCCUGGUAGUCCACGCCGUAAACGAUGUCUACUAGCCGUUGGGGGUCUUGUAUCCUUAGUGGCGCAGCUAACGCGAUAAGUAGACCGCCUGGGGAGUACGGCCGCAAGGUUAAAACUCAAAUGAAUUGACGGGGGCCCGCACAAGCGGUGGAGCAUGUGGUUUAAUUCGAUGCAACGCGAAGAACCUUACCAGGUCUUGACAUACAGAGAAGUUACUAGAGAUAGUUUCGUGCCUUCGGGAACUCUGAUACAGGUGCUGCAUGGCUGUCGUCAGCUCGUGUUG
rnacentral:rRNA from 1 species